rnacentral:rRNA from 1 species
GACGAACGCUGGCGGCGUGCUUAACACAUGCAAGUCGAACGGAAAGGCCCUGCUUUUGUGGGGUGCUCGAGUGGCGAACGGGUGAGUAACACGUGAGUAACCUGCCCUUGACUUUGGGAUAACUUCAGGAAACUGGGGCUAAUACCGGAUAGGAGCUCCUGCUGCAUGGUGGGGGUUGGAAAGUUUCGGCGGUUGGGGAUGGACUCGCGGCUUAUCAGCUUGUUGGUGGGGUAGUGGCUUACCAAGGCUUUGACGGGUAGCCGGCCUAGGAGGGUGACCGGCCACAUUGGGACUGGGAUACGGCCCAGACUCCUACGGGAGGCAGCAGUGGGGAAUAUUGCACAAUGGGCGGAAUCCUGAUGCAGCAACGCCGCGUGCGGGAUGACGGCCUUCGGGUUGUAAACCGCUUUCGCCUGUGACGAAGCGUGAGUGACGGUAAUGGGUAAAGAAGCACCGGCUAACUACGUG